rnacentral:lncRNA from 1 species
UGAUUUGGAAACAGAAACUUUCUUUGUCUCUCGUGAUGUACAUUUUUUCGAAAAUAAAUUUCCAUAUUUUGAAGCCAAAAAGAUGGACACUGCACCACCAUUGCAAAACCCAAUUAUUGCCAACUCUUUAGAAACUGGAACGGACCCACAUUUUCUUCAUGAAGUUGCCUCCUCAAACCUAGAUGAAUGCAUCGUCAACCAACCCAUUGCAUCUCCCAUCCCAGCCAAGGAGGAUGCUACCCUCACAGAUGACUUCGAC